rnacentral:misc_RNA from 1 species
GCCAGAGACCUACUAGCCUUAGCCUUUUGCUGUUUGCCCCCCUCUCUAUUUCUUUCCCCCAUCUUUUACCUUUGUAUUUCUUUCCCCUCUGCUCUCUUCUCUCGUUUGCUGUUGCUCUUGAUUUCUUUCUCAUCUCCUCUCUCUUCUACUGGCCAUUGCUUUUGAUUUCUUUCUCAUCUCGUCUCUCCUCUCAUUAGCGGUUGCUCUUGAUUGUGAAGCACAAACUUGUUGGCCAACCAUAGACUCUCCUCACCCCUUUUGAGUAUUGACUGGGAAGCACCAGCGUGAGCUCUGAGCUAUCGAACCAUCUCUAAACAGGCUAUUGAACCAUCUCCGAGCUAUUGCCUCUCUGUGAGCAAAUGGAAGCAAU